rnacentral:rRNA from 1 species
GAUGAACGCUGGCGGCGUGCCUAAUACAUGCAAGUCGAGCGAACAGACGAGGAGCUUGCUCCUCUGACGUUAGCGGCGGACGGGUGAGUAACACGUGGAUAACCUACCUAUAAGACUGGGAUAACUUCGGGAAACCGGAGCUAAUACCGGAUAAUAUAUUGAACCGCAUGGUUCAAUAGUGAAAGACGGUUUUGCUGUCACUUAUAGAUGGAUCCGCGCCGCAUUAGCUAGUUGGUAAGGUAACGGCUUACCAAGGCAACGAUGCGUAGCCGACCUGAGAGGGUGAUCGGCCACACUGGAACUGAGACACGGUCCAGACUCCUACGGGAGGCAGCAGUAGGGAAUCUUCCGCAAUGGGCGCAAGCCUGACGCAGCAACGCCGCGUGAGUGAUGAAGGUCUUCGGAUCGUAAAACUCUGUUAUUAGGGAAGAACAAAUGUGUAAGUAACUAUGCACGUCUUGACGGUACCUAAUCAGAAAGCCACGGCUAACUACGUG